AAACCAUGGUGAGGACACUCUUUUUGUUACUCCUUGAAACGAUCAACAGCCCCAUAGAAUGAUUCUCUUGGUCCUUGUUGAAACUCAUAGAUUUUUCUUCUCAUUCG
rfam:Arabis alpina cultivar Pajares scaff_56467_1_contig_3, whole genome shotgun sequence.